CGCGUAGGCGGCGGUGUAAGUCAGACGUGAAAUUCCUGGGCUCAACCUGGGGACUGCGUUUGAGACUGCAUUGCUAGAGGAUGGAAGAGGCUCGUGGAAUUCCCAGUGUAGAGGUGAAAUUCGUAGAUAUUGGGAAGAACACCGGUGGCGAAGGCGGCGAGCUGGUCCAUUACUGACGCUGAGGCGCGAUAGCGUGGGGAGCAAACA
rnacentral:rRNA from 1 species